CCCGCAUCUCUGCGCCCCGGGGGUGACGCCGCCACGGAACCCCAUCGCCUCCACACUGCACUCGGGUACCGCGGCCUCUGGGAGUCGUGCGGCGUUAUCUGCCCGGGGAUGGGGCUUCGAGGGGCACCCAGGCGGGCCUUCACCUCAAAAGGUGCCCACUGCGCUGCAGGCUGUACCUGGAGCACAGCACCCGGUGUGGGCACACGCACGGGGCCAAAGGCGCUCGGCUCCACUGCCUACUGAAAUCCAACGACCGCUUUGGUGAGAGCACGGAGCGUGGGGGCACCUCCACAAGUCCACCUGGAAGGAAGGCAGGCCGUCCCGCAGCAGUGGGGGAACAACGCCCGCAUUGCAGCUCCCCACGGCAGCAGUGCGGCCACAGUGAGCUUCACCAAUGGACAAAGAGCUGCUCACGAGAGAAGGAAAGUCAAAAUAUCGCCCAUGGAGCAACGGGAUUACUGCACGUUGGGCUGAUAUCAGAAGAAAGUGCUUCAAAGUGCACCAGGGGCAUCACCUGCCUGUGACAUGGGAGCACAUGUGCCUGCAGGCCAUGGCAUGUGCUCCUGGGACUGAAGUGACACCUUUCUCUCUAAUAGCUCCUGACGAAGCACUGCACCCAGCAGUCCUGCAGGAUGCAGGGCAAUGUUCUGUUCUCCGCAGAAGGCGCCAUACGCUGCUGUGAGCCACAGAUCUAAAUUCACGUUAAAACUUCCAUACUGAAAUUUCACAUCAAACCCUGACAGAGCCCUGAUUAGACUUCUCCAAACAACCAAACAAAGACUUCUCCAAACAACCAAACCACGAUGUUUUCAGUUGUUACGAUGACAGAAACCUCGCAACUCUGACAGCCCGUGCUCAAAGACCUUCUCUUCAGCAGGGCUGAAUCUGACCCCACCCUCAGCUCCAUGGCCACAGAUCAGGCACUGCACUCCAGCACCAGCUGAGGUCAAAGCCCUUAGAGGAGGGGAUGAAAUGCACCGCGUGUGACCGUGCUGCUCAGCCUCUUCUUUGCAUGUCCUGGGGCCUCCGAGCUGCUGAUCGGGCAUCUCUCACGAAGGCAGUGAUCACAGCACCCUGAUGUGGUGGUUUAUUUCUCCGACAUGAGCACCUUCUAGCAGGGCUUCUCUGCUGAAUGCUAUUAGGAAACGCCAAUUUCCAACCGGAUCUGCACAUCUGGGGAUACGUGAUUUAGGCAUUGGCCGGACUUGCAUUACUGAUGGAAUUGGAUGGAUGUGAAAGCUGUAAAAUGGCCACUUGAGCAAAGAUGGUCCACGUUUUUCAGAUGACUCUUACUCCUGCUAAGGCGUGGAAGAUGCUCACACGCUGCUCACGCAGUGCCACCCCCCGCCCAGUGCUGCUUCCUAACAGAACUGACGUUUUUCUGCCUGAAAGGUCCCAGUAACCGACGUGGUUAAACCAAGUGGCAAAAGUACUUGAUAUGAGCCAUAUGAUCUCGUGCUACCUUAUAAUAAGACUAAAAAAAACACUCCCUAG
ensembl:lncRNA